GUAGGGAUAGGCAUGAUCUCU
rnacentral:miRNA from 1 species